rnacentral:ncRNA from 1 species
CGGGAGUCGGGCGACCUCUUUUCUAUGGGUCGCUCGGCACCUUACGAGAAAUCAAAGUACUUUGGGUUCUGGGGGGAGUAUGGUCGCAAGGCUGAAACUUAAAGGAAUUGACGGAAGGGCACCACCAGGAGUAAACUUCACUCUCAUCGCCGCAGUGACUCUGCUCCCAAAAGCAGCCCGAAAGGGUGAGGUGGUUUGACCUUUUAAAAUCGUAAAUGCUAGUCUGCUCCAAAGGCAGGCAACAUCCUCAAAUUGCGGGAAACUCCUAAAGCUUCAGCUACCAAGCCUUCUCUCGAAAGGGGGAGGGUGGCCAGGUUAAUUGCCUCGGGUACGGUAAAAAUGCUGAAGAUGUAACAAUGGACGAUCCGCAGCCAAGCUCUAAGUCGCGUUGCGAUAUGAGUUGGGUUCAGAGACUAGAUGGGGAUGGGUGCAGGUUUCUGCGCUUAAGGUAUAGUCCGGGCCCAUGUCGAAAGCAUGGGUGGUUUUGGUUCCAAACUCGGGAGCCUGCGGCUUAAUUUGACUCAACACGG